UGGAAUAAUAACAUUAAGUGUCAUAGAUGGCGUACCUAAUAUUUUUUUCCCCCUACAGAAACACCUGUGGCAGUUCAAAUGUUACAUUUUUAUUACGUGUUGAGGUUGCAAGUGCAGAAGAAAGAGAUACAUUUUUAGACCAAAAUUAGACUACGUGAAAUGGAGUCCUGCAUCCCUGAAAAUGAGACGCAGUGGAAAUUCUGUUGAUCUUUCUUCCCAAGAUCAUGCAUUAACAGCAUUCUGGCAGGACUAAGCCCACGUCCUGGUUCACCACUGCUGUCCACCUCAUCAAAAAGAGUGACCUCACAAAGGUAUGAACCUUCAGUUUGCUGUGGGGAUGCUGGUCCUCUGCCUUGUGUUUGCAGGUGCUGGAGAACAA